GAGUCUCAUUGAGCAGCAAGACAGGAUGGAACUCACACCACUCUGCUGGCAGCUCUUGCUGUUGAGUACACUGGUAUACUGUAGCCUCGGACAAGGUGGAGGAGAUAAAAACCUCUGAGUCAUAUUUGGAGAAGGAAAUCCUGCUCAUUCUCUAGUCACCUGAACCAAAGUGCUGACAUAGCGUUUCCUCUCUGAUCCUCCAUGUUUUUUCUAUGAAGUCUCUACACACUUAGAAAAAAGGAUUCCAAAAGGUUUUUCGUUCAAAGGAUUAACCCUAAUCCUAACCCUUUAUGUGACAUGUUGAAUCCUCUGUGGAAUGUGUCCCAAUAAUUACAGAGGACACUGUAUAUAUCACAGAAUCUAUUAACUACCCUAAACUACCUCCUACCUACUGCGCACUAAACCUACCAACCCUUCACUGUCCCAGUAAUUACAGAGGACACUGCAUAUACCACAAUAUCUAUUAACUACCCUAAACUACCUCCUACCUACCGCACACUAAACCUACCAACCCUUCACUGUCCCAAUAAUUAAAGAGGACACUGUAUAUUGGGGCGGCAGGUAGCCUAGUGGUUUAAGAGAGUAGCCCACCCUCACUAGGUUAAACAGCUAGAGAAUAGCUUCUCUCUGAUGUGUUUCAGCAACUAUGUUAGAAUAUAAAGCCUUGUCUCCAGAUCUCAGGAUAAUAUCCUCCCUUCAUCACUAGGUUAAACAGCUAGAGAAUAGCCUCUCUGCUGUGUUUCAGUAUCUCUGUUAGAAUAUAAAGCCUUGUCUCCAGAUCUCAGGAUAGUAUCCUACCCUCAUCACUAGGUUAAACAGCUAGAGAAUAGCCUCUCUGCUGUGUUUCAGUAUCUCUGUUAGAAUAUAAAGCCUUGUCUCCAGAUCUCAGGAUAGUAUCCUCCCCUCAUCACUAGGUUAAACAGCUAGAGAAUAGCCUCUCUGCUGUGUUUCAGUAUCUCUGUUAGAAUAUAAAGCCUUGUCUCCAGAUCUCAGGAUAGUAUCCUCCCCUCAUCACUAGGUUAAACAGCUAGAGAAUAGCCUCUCUGCUGUGUUUCAGUAUCUCUGUUAGAAUAUAAAGCCUUGUCUCCAGAUCUCAGGAUAGUAGUAUCCUCCCCUCAUCACCAGGUUAAACAGCUAGAGAAUAGCCUCUCUGCUGUGUUUCAGUAUCUCUGUUAGAAUAUUUUAUAAUUGACUUUAGACAAUGCAACUCUCUCUCUCUAAUCCAGCUUCUCUGAGUGUCAGUCCUGACAGAUCUCAGUUCUUUAAAUAUGAGACUGUCUCUCUGAGCUGUGAGGUUCAGGGGAACUCUGCUGGAUGGAGAGUGAAGAGAUACAUAGCCUCUGGGGAGCGUUCAGAUUGUGGAAGAAACUGGGGAAAAACAACAAGGGUCUUCAUGCAUUGUGUCACUAAUACCAUCAGACAGUGGAAUGUACUGGUGUGAGUCUGGGUCUGGAGAACACAGCAAUGCUGUCAACAUCACAGUACAUGCUGGAGCUGUGAUCCUGGAGAGACCUGUUCAUAUAUUAUAUACAGCUGGUGCUGUGAUCCUGGAGAGACCUGUUUAUAUAUUAUAUACAGCUGGAGCUGUGAUCCUGGAGAGACCUGUUUAUAUAUUAUAUACAGCUGGAGCUGUGAUCCUGGAGAGACCUGUUCAUAUAUUAUAUACAGCUGGUGCUGUGAUCCUGGAGAGACCUGUUUAUAUAUUAUAUACAGCUGGAGCUGUGAUCCUGGAGAGACCUGUUUAUAUAUUAUAUACAGCUGGAGCUGUGAUCCUGGAGAGCCCUGCCCUUCCUGUGACUAAGGGAGAUUCUGUGACUCGGCGCUGCAGAUAUCAGGGAACUCCCUCUAACCUCACAGCUGAUUUCUACAAAGAUGAAUCCCUCAUCAGGAAUGCGACUACAGGAGAGAUGACUAUCCCUGCAGUAUCCAAGUCAGAUGAAGGUCUCUACAAGUGUACCAACUCUGAAGGAGAAUCACCAGAGAGCUGGAUGACUGUGACAGGUGAUCGUGUUGAAGAAGAGUGAGGCUGAGAUCACCUGAUCACCAUAACAACCAUCAGAAUGGAACUCAUGAGUCACAAUGCUGUAUGUUGUUACAUUGUAGCUCCACCUGCUGGAACAAUAGUGGCAUUUGAUCAAAUGUGAUCUAUUAACUGAUACAUGUAUUACUCUGAUUGGAAUGUGUUUUAAUAUAAUGUGUGUUGUAUUAUUCAUUCAGCAGCUGUCCUUUAACAUCAGUCAUAUACUGGUCAUAUACUGUAUAGCAUUAUGGUUGAUACAUUGUAAAUGCCUUCACUUCUCAUGUCUAUACAGAUCAACUGAUAGGUGUUGUGGUUCAGGCAUUAUUGUUACAGGUUCAGUAUAAUGUUAUACCGUUACAUGUUACAGAGAUAGAAAACAUACAGGAGAGGAGGAUUCACUUAUUAUAAUUAUUUACUUUAUUUUCCCAUGUUGGUCUCAAUAGUAGUUCUUCAUUAUUUGAUUUGAUUUAAACAUGAAACUAAUGUAGGCCUUUUGUUUUAUUGUGGUUGUUUUGUGCAAUUAUUCUAUUUAUCAUCCUGGUAAGAUAUUGCUUUAGUCUUUGUGUCAUAUAGAAUUAAAUAAAUGAUAUUCCUCAA